CCGCACCUGCCAACGACUCGGGGUUCCGAACAGUGGAGACCAUCUCAGUGCACGGAGAAGGUUUCACUCUACAUGACGACAAACACAACAGUUACUCAAGAAUACAAUCAAAAAGUGGAACAAAAUACCAGGCAGACUUCGGCAUGUCCACCCUGAGAUGCAGACUACAGCAGGAAUUUACUGGCUAGCACGAAACCCAGUCGUGGAAGGAUUGGGGUGUGCAUUCAUGUUUUUCACGCAAGAAAGUUGAAAAACAAGCACUGCAGCUGAAUGCAACAGCAUCGUGAAAGCAAAGAAAAAAAUAAUAAAAAAGCAAGACUGACACAAACAUGCAUACAUUGUGUGUUACAUAGAAAACACACAAGUGAAUAAAAUUCCUUACACAAAACAUCACUAUUACAUGUAUCACACAGGUAAGUUAUAAAAAA